UUGAACGCUGGCGGCAGGCCUAACACAUGCAAGUCGAGCGGUUGAGAGUAGCUUGCUACUUGAUGCAGCGGCGGACGGGUGAGUAACGCGUGGGAAUCUGCCCAGUAGUGGGGGACAACAGCCGGAAACGGCUGCUAAUACCGCAUACGCCCUACGGGGGAAAGGGGGGGAUCUUCGGACCUCUCGCUAUUGGAUGAGCCCGCGUCGGAUUAGCUAGUUGGUAGGGUAAAGGCCUACCAAGGCUACGAUCCGUAACUGGUCUGAGAGGAUGAUCAGUCACACUGGAACUGAGACACGGUCCAGACUCCUACGGGAGGCAGCAGUGGGGAAUAUUGGACAAUGGGGGAAACCCUGAUCCAGCCAUGCCGCGUGUGUGAAGAAGGCCUUAGGGUUGUAAAGCACUUUCAGUGGGGAGAAAGGUUUGUCACCUAAUACGUGAUGCAAUUGAUGUUACCCACAGAAGAAGCACCGGCUAACUCCGUGCCAGCCGCCGCAGUAACAC
rnacentral:rRNA from 1 species